rnacentral:rRNA from 1 species
AUUGAACGCUGGCGGCAUGCCUUACACAUGCAAGUCGAACGGCAGCACGGGAGCAAUCCUGGUGGCGAGUGGCGAACGGGUGAGUAAAGUAUCGGAACGUGCCCAGUCGUGGGGGAUAACGUAGCGAAAGUUACGCUAAUACCGCAUACGAUCUAUGGAUGAAAGCGGGGGAUCGCAAGACCUCGCGCGAUUGGAGCGGCCGAUAUCAGAUUAGGUAGUUGGUGGGGUAAAGGCCCACCAAGCCGACGAUCUGUAGCUGGUCUGAGAGGACGACCAGACACACUGGGACUGAGACCCGGCCCAGACUCCUACGGGAGGCAGCAGUGGGGAAGUUUGGACAAUGCGCGAAAGCCUGAUCCAGCCAUGCCGCGGGCAGGAUGAAGGCCUUCGGGUUGUAAACUGCUUUUGUACGGAACGAAAAGGACUGCCCUAAUACGGUGGUCCCAUGACGGUACCGUAAGAAUAAGCACCGGCUAACUACGUGCCAGCCGCCGCCGUAA